GAUGCUUUUUUAAUGUCGAAUUUCAUUGAGGACCAGUGACGCUUACAUGUGCGACAAACAAACAACUAUUGACGUCACUUCGGCGACGAAACUGGAACAACGAGAACAGGAUGGAAGUCGAAGUAGUUGUAUUCGUUAUGGUGCUUUAUUGUUGUGCAACUGCAAUUUUUACAUCCAUAUUGGAAAAGAGAUCGGCAUGCUUGGAAAAGGAGAUUGAAUACGCUGAGAUGGAAAGAUCUGAGAGGAGGAGAGGGCUCCUACAACGAAUUAGGGAGCUCGACUUGAGAUUGGCUCGGGUUAGGCAGUGGCACAACAGACGAAGAAGGAUUCUUCGAUAUUAUCGUGCACGACGUAGUUCCACUGUGUCUGUUUGGCUUCGCAACAGAGCGAGACGAGUGGCGGCGGCAAACGCCACUUGAUGACCAACUUGCAAAAGGUUUCUGAAUACCGUAAGCCGUGACUGAAGCUGUAUUGCAUGUGGUGUCAACCUGACUCCGCAGAGGUAUGACCCUUUAUGGAAGUACCACUGUACAUCUCGGGAGGCCUUUAGCAGCAGAGCUUUGUUAAACAGUGGGGAGCUCUUUUGUUGUUACACUCAACGCUGAAAAAGGCGUAGAGUAUGGUAGAGGGUUCCCUUAGUAGGCCUACCAGAGGCAUUUGAUGUCAGUUUUUUCAACUGUCAUGUUAACGUACUGACUGACAUUCUACCCUCUACCUAGUUCUCAGAUUAAUAGAGUAGGCCUACGAGACCACCAAGGGAAUGUUGUCACUUGCUGUAUUAGCUUGUGUGAUGAAACCAAUUCUAUGGAUGGUAGAGUUUAUUUCUACUGGUCAGCAUUGUGAAUACCAGGGACACCAGAUUACUCCGGUCACUGUGCCUUUAUAGGUUUAAUCUGUCAAUUGUUAUGUUCGCUUUGUCAGUGGUCAACAGAAUGAUGUCAGUGUUGAUAUGGUACAACCCAGAAUUAUAUGGCUUGGCAUUACCAGUGAUCAACAAUAAAUGCAAAUGCUGUA